GCAACGGGGCGGUGGCUCGGCGGGUACCCGGCCUAGUGAGCGCGAGAAGCCGCUAGGCCGCAGCCGGCCCACCCUGGGCUCUGGAGAGGUGCAGCCCCCGGCCCCGGAGCCCUCCCGGGGGCGCCAGAAAGCCACUUUGGGCCUGUCCCCAGGAAAACGUGGUCUCAGCUGUGGGGCCGUCGAGCAGGCCUCGACCCCUCUUCCUGACCUGAGGAGAGGCCCAGCGCCUCACCCUCACCCGGUCUUUGUGCAGGGCGCCGGCGGCCAUUGUGUCCGGGCGGGGAAUGGAGGACCCGGCAAUCCCCAACUGCCACGUUCUGGGCCUUUGGGGAAUUCAGAGCAAACCAGCGGCAUUUGUUGGGGGUCUCCGGCCUUCAACCUCCCAGACAGGCCUGGGAGUGGCCUUCCCAAAGUCAGAUUGCAGAUCUGAGGCAGUUUCCCCCUCCCUGCGUCCCUCACUGAAACCUUGAACCCCAUUGAGAAGUCCCUUUAGAGUUUCGGACGCCUCCACCUCACCCUGGGCUGGUGCUUAAAUAGAAAAAAGAAAAACAAAAACCAACUAAAUCCAUACCAGCCACCUCCGGGAGAGUACUCCUGGCUCCCAGUAGGAGGCGGAGAGCCAAGGGGCGUGCAAGAGAGAGGGGGCUGGGCUCCCGGGUGGCAGGAGGCCGCGGCUGCGGAGCGGCCGCCCUCGAUCCGGGCGAUGGAGGAGGAAGCAAGCGAGGGGGCUGGUUCCUGAGCUUCGCAAUUCCUGUGUCGCCUUCUGGGCUCCCAGCCUGCCGGGUCGCAUGAUCCCUCCGGCCGGAGCUGGUUUUUUUGCCAGCCGCCGCGAGGCCGGCUGAGUUACCGGCAUCCCCGCAGCCACCUCCUCUCUCGACCUGUGAUACAAAAGAUCUUCCGGGGGCUGCACCUGCCUGCCUUUGCCUAAGGCGGAUUUGAAUCUCUUUCUCUCCCCUCAGAAUCUUAUCUUGGCUUUGGAUCUUAGAAGAGAAUCACUAACCAGAGACGAGACUCAGUGAGUGAGCAGGUGUUUUGGACAAUGGACUGGUUGAGCCCAUCCCUAUUAUAAAAAUGUCUCAGAGCAACCGGGAGCUGGUGGUUGACUUUCUCUCCUACAAGCUUUCCCAGAAAGGAUACAGCUGGAGUCAGUUUAGUGAUGUGGAAGAGAACAGGACUGAGGCCCCAGAAGGGACUGAAUCGGAGAUGGAGACCCCCAGUGCCAUCAAUGGCAACCCAUCCUGGCACCUGGCGGACAGCCCCGCGGUGAAUGGAGCCACUGGCCACAGCAGCAGUUUGGAUGCCCGGGAGGUGAUCCCCAUGGCAGCAGUAAAGCAAGCGCUGAGGGAGGCAGGCGACGAGUUUGAACUGCGGUACCGGCGGGCAUUCAGUGACCUGACAUCCCAGCUCCACAUCACCCCAGGGACAGCAUAUCAGAGCUUUGAACAGGUAGUGAAUGAACUCUUCCGGGAUGGGGUAAACUGGGGUCGCAUUGUGGCCUUUUUCUCCUUCGGCGGGGCACUGUGCGUGGAAAGCGUAGACAAGGAGAUGCAGGUAUUGGUGAGUCGGAUCGCAGCUUGGAUGGCCACUUACCUGAAUGACCACCUAGAGCCUUGGAUCCAGGAGAACGGCGGCUGGAGACGGGAUCUCACUAUGUCUCCCAGGCUGGUUUCGAACUCCUGGUCUCAAGCAAUCCACCCGCCUCAGCCUCCUGAAGUAUAGCACUUCCAUUUCACAAAUGAGGCAACUGAUACUUGGAGGAGAGCAGGAGAGCAGCAGCGGAGAGAGAGCAGAACUAAGACCAGCCAGUCAACGGAGACAGAGGGAGACGAGCAUCAGCUCCCUGACAGGGAAGAGUUUUCCAACGGGGCUGUCCGAAGAUGAAAUGUCCUACCCAGGAAGGAGGGAGCUCUCCAUAAGUGCAUAAGGAGAGAAUGCCCUCGAGAUGACUACCAACUCCCAUGGGUGUGGACCAUCAGAAUGAAACAGACCCACUGUGGGACUUCAGCACUCCACCCUUCUGAACCCUGUCUGUGAAAUGGGGGUGUUCGUGGUGAGCUUGAGUAUUACAUGGAAGGUUGGAUGGGCAUGCUGUAAGGUCCCUGGAGUCUCCGACUCUGUUCCAAGGGUGCCAGAUGCCAGUUUUAGAUUCUGGCUCCACCACUGACACAGCUGGGUGACCUUGAUCUAGUCCCUGGACCCUCAGAGGCACAGCUUCUUGGCCUGUAAAUGGGGAGAGACAGCCUGCAUUGCAGAAUUGUUGGGAGGAUUAAAGGACAAAUUGGGAUACUUUUGUGGAACUCUAUGGGAACAAUGCAGCAGCCGAGAGCCGAAAGGGCCAGGAACGCUUCAACCGCUGGUUCCUGACGGGCAUGACUGUGGCCGGCGUGGUUCUGCUGGGCUCACUCUUCAGUCGGAAAUGACCAGACACUGACCAUCCACUCUACCCUCCCACCCCCUUCUCUGCUCCACCACAUCCUCCGUCCAGCCGCCAUUGCCACCAGGAGAACCACUACAUGCAGCCCAUGCCCACCUGCCCACCUGCCCAUCACAGGGUUGGGCCCAGACCUGGUCCCCUGCAGUUAGUUUUCUAGAAUUUAUCACACUUCUGUGAGACCCCCACACCUCAGUUCCCUUGGCCUCAGAAUUCACAAAAUUUCCACAAAAUCUGUCCAAAGGAGGCUGGCAGGUAUGGAAGGGUUUGUGGCUGGGGGCAGGAGGGCCCUACCUGAUUGGUGCAACCCUUACCCCUUAGCCUCCCUGAAAAUGUUUUUCUGCCAGGGAGCUUGAAAGUUUUCAGAACCUCUUCCCCAGAAAGGAGACUAGAUUGCCUUUGUUUUGAUGUUUGUGGCCUCAGAAUUGAUCAUUUUCCCCCCACUCUCCCCACACUAACCUGGGUUCCCUUUCCUUCCAUCCCUACCCCCUAAGAGCCAUUUAGGGGCCACUUUUGACUAGGGAUUCAGGCUGCUUGGGAUAAAGAUGCAAGGACCAGGACUCCCUCCUCACCUCUGGACUGGCUAGAGUCCUCACUCCCAGUCCAAAUGUCCUCCAGAAACCUCUGGCUAGAGGCCAGCCCCACCCAGGAGGGAGGGGGCUAUAGCUGCAGGAAGCACCCCAUGCCAAAGCUAGGGUGGCCCUUGCAGUUCAGCACCACCCUAGUCCCUUCCCCUCUCUGGCUCCCAUGACCAUACUGAGGGACCAACUGGGCCCAAGACAGAUGCCCCAGAGCUGUUUAUGGCCUCAGCUGCCUCACUUCCUACAAGAGCAGCCUGUAGCAUCUUUGCCUUGGGCUGCUCCUCAUGGCGGGUUCAGGGGACUCAGCCCUGAGGUGAAAGGGAGCUAUCAGGAACAGCUAUGGGAGCCCCAGGGUCUUCCCUACCUCAGGCAGGAAGGGCAGGAAGGAGAGCCUGCUGCAUGGGGUGGGGUAGGGCUGACUAGAAGGGCCAGUCCUGCCUGGCCAGGCAGAUCUGUGCCCCAUGCCUGUCCAGCCUGGGCAGCCAGGCUGCCAAGGCCAGAGUGGCCUGGCCAGGAGCUCUUCAGGCCUCCCUCUCUCUUCUGCUCCACCCUUGGCCUGUCUCAUCCCCAGGGGUCCCAGCCACCCCGGGCUCUCUGCUGUACAUAUUUGAGACUAGUUUUUAUUCCUUGUGAAGAUGAUAUACUAUUUUUGUUAAGCGUGUCUGUAUUUAUGUGUGAGGAGCUGCUGGCUUGCAGUGCGCGUGCACAUGGAGAGCUGGUGCCCGGAGAUUGGACGGCCUGAUGCUCCCUCCCCUGCCCUGGUCCAGGGAAGCUGGCCGAGGGUCCUGGCUCCUGAGGGGCACCUGCCCCUCCCCCAACCCCCACCCCACACUUGUUCCAGCUCUUUGAAAUAGUCUGUGUGAAGGUGAAAGUGCAGUUCAGUAAUAAACUGUGUUUACUCAGUGAACAAA